AUACGUAGGGAGCGAGCGUUGUCCGGAAUUACUGGGUGUAAAGGGCGCGUAGGCGGGAGUGCAAGUCAGAUGUGAAAUACAUGGGCUCAACCCAUGGGCUGCAUUUGAAACUGCAUUUCUUGAGUGAAGUAGAGGUACGCGGAAUUCCUGGUGUAGCGGUGAAAUGCGUAGAUAUCAGGAGGAACACCGGUGGCGAAGGCGGCUUACUGGGCGAUUACUGACGCGGAGGCUCGAAAGCGGGGGGAGGAAACACGAUUAGAUACCCCAGUACUCCACGCUGUAAACGAUGAUUACUAGGUGUGGGGGGACACAGCCCUUCCGCGCCGGACUCAACCCAAUAACUAAUCACCCUGGGAAGUACGGCCGCAAGGUUGAAGCUCAAAUUAAUUGACGGAG
rnacentral:rRNA from 1 species